rnacentral:rRNA from 1 species
GAGUUUUGAUCAUGGCUCAGGAUGAACGCUAGCUACAGGCUUAACACAUGCAAGUCGAGGGGCGAGCAUGGUCUUAGCUUGCUAAGGCCGAUUGGCGACCGGCGCACGGGUGAGUAACACGUAUCCAACCUGCCGUCUACUCUUGGACAGCCUUCUGAAAGGAAGAUUAAUACAAGAUGGCAUCAUGAGUUCACAUGUUCACAUGAUUAAAGGUUUUCCGGUAGACGAUGGGGAUGCGUUCCAUUAGAUAGUAGGCGGGGUAACGGCCCACCUAGUCUUCGAUGGAUAGGGGUUCUGAGAGGAAGGUCCCCCACAUUGGAACUGAGACACGGUCCAAACUCCUACGGGAGGCAGCA